rnacentral:rRNA from 1 species
AAUCUUGGACAAUGGGCGCAAGCCUGAUCCAGCCAUGCCGCGUGAGUGAUGAAGGCCUUAGGGUCGUAAAGACUCUUUCGCCAGGGAUGAUAAUGACAGUACCUGGUAAAGAAACCCCGGCUAACUCCGUGCCAGCAGCCGCGGUAAUACGGAGGGGUUAGCGUUGUUCGGAAUUACUGGGCGUAAAGCGCGCGUAGGCGGACUGGAAAGUUGGGGUGGAAAUCCCGGGGCUCAACCCGGAACUGCCUCCAAAACUAUCAGUCUAGAGUUCGAGAGAGGUGAGUGGAAUUCCGAGUGUAGAGGUGAAAUUCGUAGAUAUUCGGAGGAACACCAGUGGCGAAGGCGGCUCACUGGCUCGAUACUGACGCUGAGGUGCGAAAGUGUGGGGAGCAAACAGGAUUAGAUACCCUGGUAG